CCUACGGGAGGCAGCAGUGGGGAAUCUUGCGCAAUGGGCGAAAGCCUGACGCAGCAACGCCGCGUGCGGGAAGAAGGCUUUCGGGCUGUAAACCGCUUUCAGCAGGAACGAAAAUGACGGUACCUGCAGAAGAAGGAGCGGCCAACUAUGUGCCAGCAGCCGCGGUGAUACAUAGGCUUCAAGCGUUGUCCGGAUUUAUUGGGCGUAAAGAGUUCGUAGGCGGUCAAGUAAGUCGGGUGUGAAAAUUCUGGGCUCAACCCAGAGACGCCACCCGAUACUGCUUAACUUGAGUUCGAUAGGGGAGUGGGGAAUUCCUAGUGUAGCGGUGAAAUGCGCAGAUAUUAGGAGGAACACCGGUGGCGAAGGCGCCACUCUGGAUCGAUACUGACGCUGAGGAACGAAAGCAUGGGUAGCAAACAGGAUUAGAUACCCUGGUAGUCCAUGCCGUAAACGGUGGGCACUAGGUGUGGGUUUCUAUUAACGAAAUCCGNGCCGUCGCUAACGCAUUAAGUGCCCCGCCUGGGGGAGGUACGGUCGCGAACGAACGUAAAACUAACAAACUAGAAUUAGACGGCGUGAGACGUGCCGAACGACGACGACGAGGGAGGUAGG
rnacentral:rRNA from 1 species